AAUACUGCUUAUAAUUGAUCUGAAACUGUUUUACAAUUAGGGCUAGGUUCCUAACUUCUACUCUUUUAGUUUGAAUUUGAAUUCCUUUUUCUGGCUAAUUUCAGAUCUAGCUAGAUUCAAUUUGGUUAUAUGUAUGUGUGUCUGCAAAUAUACUUUUGAAGCAACUUAUUCUUUAAUUGAUUUCUUCUUAUGCAAAACUGGUUUGCAGUUGGUUCUUUUUUCAUAGAUUGGGGUUAUUUAUUAAAAGGUGGGUGUAAUUUAGGAAGUAGCGUAAGGAGCAGUGCAGGGGAAUUGGUGCUAAGACACAAAACUUGUCAGGAAUUGGCCCUAGGUGAAAGGUUUAUUAUUUGCGCCUUGCGUGGGCUUUGAGUCUUUGUUGUCUUUCAGGCAUUGGGUAGUGGAUUCGCGCAAUUCGCCUAGACCGGUUUUCCAGAGAUGCAAAGACAUAAUCUAGAGUCAACAGCUUCACACCAAGGUUGAUCCUGUUUUAGCUGGGUUCGGCUUGACAAAGAAUUGCUUGUUUGUUCAUCGGUUCUUCUUUCUGGACUGACCAAAGGUUAUGUUAGCGGAAUAGAUAGUUUGGUGUUCACUUUUUUUUUAUCUAUUAUCCCCAUUUACUAUCUAAAACAAUUCACUAAUUUGAAGUGGUUAAAUAAGUUUAAUGAUUGGUGUGAUACAAGGGUCGAAGAUAUUUUUGAGAGAACAAUUGGUGCUUUAGAAAGAGGGAAACAGGUACAUAAUUGAGAGUGAUAAUGGUAGAAACAAGCUGGAGUUUGCUGUAAUCUAAAACCAUCGAUUCAAUAUCUAUGCAUUAUAAGACACACAUCAUACAGAGGGAGAGGGAAGAAUACGGAGACAGGGGAGCCAUCGCAGGUCUUGCUUCUUUUCUUUUUUUCGUCUCCGUCAGUGUAGAAGCCAUCGCAGGUCUCGCUUCUUCAACUCUAAAAGUCAUUGCAGGUCGCAUUUCGAUUCGGUCAGGUUUGGUGACAAGUAUCUUAUAAAGACACCUCCCGAAUUGAUUGGCGAUUUCGCAAUACAUGGUUCCGUGUGACGUUGGCUGCUUAUAAGUAGACCUGAGGGAAAACUGGUGUUCUUUAAACCCAUCACAAGUGAUAUUGAAACCUGUAAAUGAAGCGUAAUCGAUCCUGUCUCUACGAAAUGGGUUAUUUUAUGAAAGAGUAAUGGGUCAAAAUGAGUUAUUUGUUACGCAUUCCCCUCAAUAAUCCUUCGUAAAGUGCCCCCUUUGUAAGGUGGUUAAUGAUUUGUUAAAUCCUAUCUGUUAAAAUGCCUUUUGAAGGUUCACAAAGGAAAAUAUAGCCAAAUUCAUUUGAUUGCUUCACUAACUGUUGGAUUGAGUCGCUGCCAUGACGAGUUUGCAGUUGCUAUAGUCGACAAGUCCUUGCUAUGUGGCCCGAACCCAAAUUCACCGGCAAACUCAGAGGCAGCGCGGUUAUUUAGUGAGAAUAAACGCGAGUAUAACAGGAAAGUGUGGGAGGUUGUGGAGCAGAGCUGGACAGCUGACUAGCCAGGUGUUUGGUUCAUGUCUCUCUCUUAUCUCUUCAUGGUCUGUAUCUCUGUAAUAUUGGUAUUAUAGAACCACUUAAAACAGUAAUAACGAAUAUUGUAUUGUGGGAACUUUGUUGGUUUGAAAGUCAGCUUUUAUUAUCUUUUAA